rnacentral:rRNA from 1 species
CGCGUAGGUGGUUGUGAUAGUCAGAUGUGAAAUCCUUUGGCUUAACUGAAGAACUGCAUCUGAAACUUCACAACUCGAGUACAGGAGAGGGAAACGGAGUUCCCGGUGUAGAGGUGAAAUUCGUAGAUAUCGGGAGGAACACCAGUGGCGAAGGCGGUUUCCUGGCCUGAUACUGACACUGAGGCGCGAAAGCGUGGGGAGCAAACA